GGAUAAUAAGUUGCAACUUAGUAAGGAAGCUUUCUAAGCUGCUUAUUACUUCUCAACUUAACUCCGCAGAGCAAUUCUUCGCUUAAACCCCUACUUCCAUAGCUUUUAUGGGUGAUUCACCCUUUCUUAUUGAUGCUUUUCCUAUUGGGAUACCAAUCUAAGUUAAUAGAUUGACUAUGGGGAUAUCUUUAUUCGGGGCUAUUCGCCUUUUGAAUCAAACAAAGUAAGUAAUAGGGGCUUCAUAGCUACUUUCAUUCUAAAGGAAACCUAAAAACCAAUCUUCAGUCAAUAGGAGCCCUACUUCCCUCUUUGCGACCUCAUCACUUUAAUUUAAGCGCAAACUCAUUUCUUUUUUAGAGUCAAUUUAAGUUGCUUAUUACUUCUCAACUUAACUCCGCAGGACCAUUCUUCGCUUAAACCCCUACUUCCACAGCUUUUAUUGGUGAUUCACCCUUUCUUAUUGAUGCUUUUCCUAUUGGGAUACCAAUCUAAGUUAAUAAAUUGACUAUGAGGAUAUCUUUAUUGGGGGUUGUUCGCAUUUUGAAUCAAACAAAGUAAGUAGUAGGGGCUUCAUAGCUACUUUCAUUCUAAAGGAGACCUAAAAACCAACCUUCAGUCAAUAGGAGCCCUACUUCCCUCUUUGCGACCUCAUCACUUCAAUUUAAGCGCAAACCCAUUUCUUUUUUAGAGUGAGUUUGGAUGGGUGGUGGGUUUACCUGCGAUUAGUGUAAAAACAGCGGUGGCAGUGAGAUUAGAUACUGUAGCGAUACUGUAACGUGAGACAAAAAGUAAGCUAAAUGCACCGCACUCAAUCGCUCAUCCAAAUCCACCCUUAGUCACCGGGCGGAGCGCACCUUUGGUACUUCAGUAGGGCAAGCUGUUUGAUAGUUCUUCUUUCGUUUGCUAGGGCGACGAAAGGCUACUUCAAUCUAGGAAACAGUCGGAAACUCGAGAGGGUCGACUUUGGAAGCGUUCGCCAGUAACCAAAGCGUCACUCCCUCCUUUUGAUUAUGUCGUGACGCUGACUGAAUCCAAUCCAUUACCCCGGAAACGAAACAAAGUUCGUUCCCUUUCUUCAAGUAGGCAUACGAACCACUUACUUGUGCUUUGCC
rnacentral:lncRNA from 1 species